UACAUGGGGUGCAAACGUUGCUCGGAAUUAUUGGGCGUAAAGCGCGCGUAGGCGGUUACUUAAGUCGGAUGUGAAAGCCCUCGGCUUAACUGAGGAAGUGCACCCGAAACUGAGUAGCUAGAGUACGAAAGAGGGUCGCGGAAUUCCCGGUGUAGAGGUGAAAUUCGUAGAUAUCGGGAGGAACACCGGUGGCGAAGGCGGCUCUCUGGACCACUACUGACGCUGAGGCGCGAAAGCUAGGGGAGCAAACAGG
rnacentral:rRNA from 1 species